GGUUCGCUCUCCAGUCUCCUAGUUUGACUGCCUCUCCAACAAGAUUUUUCUUUGCUGAACCCUCUAUGUCUCCAUGGUCGGCUUUGCUGUACGCCAGGCAGGAGAACUUGAAUUUGGUAACAAAGCUGAGUUGCUGCCUGGGAGUUUUUGCCAGUGUGUUGUCAGCUCCCAGCUGGUCACGGGAGUCCAGUGACGAGUCCAAGCAACCUCUAGGCUCUGCGUCUUAGGGGGUGCCUGGGGCACAGACCCCAACUGGGUGCCAUAGACCUUCGGUGUUAACUCCUGCAGCAAGCAAACAGUUUGGGGGUUCGGUUUCGACAGACCUCUUUUGCCCAGAGUCUGACAUUUCUGAUGGGGAUUCUGGUCAGCACAUCCCAGCACCUGCCACAGGAACUCGGAUCCACACGGUUCCCUGGACUUCCUGGUCUCAACAUCAACAUGGGAAAUAACAGGUCUUUGACUAAAAGCUGAAACAAUUGUGUAAUCUUCUGCAUUUGCCUUUAGAAUCUGAUUGCCACCUCGCCUAAAUACAUAAGUAUUAGAUUUUUGCAAUGAUCUGUAAGCCUAUGUAGACAUGUUGUUUAAAACCUUCUGAUCUCUGACAGACUUCCUAAAAUUCAACUCCUAAAUGAAGUCUCUUUUAUUAAUUAGGCCUGUUUAUUUAGUAUGUCAAAUUACAUGGGAGGCAUAGAACUAUUCGAGAAAGUAUAUAAAAUUCCUAAGAUUUUGACAUAUCCUGGUGUGUCAUGACUUGUAAUUCUGACUAUUGAAGUAUGUGUCACAGAAUUUCCUGGUCAGCUGCACUGUAAUGACAAAUACAGGUCUCUGAUACCUUAAAGAUCAUAAAAAUAGAGUAAGAAUUUCUGGAACUAAUGGGAAAACUGCAUUCCAAUAGAACAAGAAUUAAUAACAUGGGACUGAAUGAAUUGAGGCAGGUAAUUCUAUAGCUUUUGUUUGAAGCUUUGCUGGUUUUCUAAUGUUUACUUUUCCAGGUUUAAGGAAACCUUCCCUCUUAAGCUAUUUAUGACUUACUGAAAUUUGAUAAAAUAAUACUUUUGUAAACAAACAUGAAACAUUUAUCUUUCUUUCCCAGCCUGAUCCCUCCAGAAUUCAGAAACUCCAAGUGAACGUUCUUCUGUUUUCACAGCGAUGUAUUUAUUUGCAAAAGUUAAAUAAGAAUCUGUUCUUUAUGUCAAGACACAAUUAGAAACGUUGGUUAUAUUACCAAGGCUUUGACCAGAAUGUCCUAUUUGAGGGAGAUCUGCAGAGACUUAACUAUGACCAAACAACUGGUGUGGUUCCAACUUUAAGGAAAUAAUGUUGACUUUAUAGAGCCAAUGAAUCCCCUUGGAAAAACUGACCUGGUACCUUGCUUACUGAGUUCCAGCAGGCUUACCAGGUGGAUAAGAACCUGCCACUUCCUGGCAGGUCCAAGAACCUCAGGAUAUUUGGGAGACCUUGAGAAGAGAGGAAUUCACCAAAACCUAUAGGUAUUGCUGGGGGAGUCUGAUGGCAAGUAUUUGGCUUGGCUUCUUAGCCUUGACAGGCUGUUAAAGUUCAAUCUGAAAUUCCUUAUGAAAAGUUCUAGUAAAGCAGAUUAAAAAAAAAAAAAAAACUAUAUGGUCAAUCACGAUUGCUGUGCUUCUAUAAAUAAUUAGCCAAGUUUGCUACAACUGAGCAGAAUAAUCUUAAUUUGGCUAUCCUUCAUGGAAAUGAAGGUGAUUUUAGAAAGAUUAUUUCAGUAACACCUUUUUGUGGAAGUUAGGUUUCAGUUCUAAUUAACUGUCUUUGAGUGUUUUAUUUGCCUGUAAAACUGGGCUGGAUGCUGAAUUCUGGUUUUCUUGAAUAUCUGGCUAUGACUUAGAAUAGCUGAGAGCUAAAACUGCCCUCUUUCUGAAGUCCUGCAAACUGAAGCUAGACAACUUGAGAUAACAGAAAAUUGCCACAAUGGCCCAUAUUAAGACAGUCUUCAUGCCUGUUGCUAUAUGAGCCUCUCAGAACAAGCUUAUUCCAGCCAUAGGGAUCUGCCACUGGAAAAAUCCAGAUCUUCUGAUGGUCACAGAUGCGAGUAGUUUUCUAGACUAAGAACAACAAAGAGCUAGGUACAUUGGUGACCCAUCAGCUAUUGUCCGUUGCCAAAAACACUAGAAUCAGACGGUUGGAUUGUUCCUUAGUGCAGUCAGGCAAAUCAAGCUGCCAAGUUGGCAGCCUGUGCAAAGACCCUGUGUGAUGUUUAGUACCAGACCUAGACUUAACUAAGUAUCCAUUCCAAUAUUCUCAAGACCUAAGAAGAGUUGCAGAAUGGUGAUUUGAACACAAUGCUGCCAUUAAAGCCAGCUGGAAAUAUAAUUAACCAGGGAUAAUUCUUAUCCCAGAACAUCUUCUGGAAAAAACAAUUAGUCAUAUUUCCCAAAACACCCAUCAUGAGCGAGUUGCUGCUCUUCAGUGGAUCCAGAAAUAUAUCGUGGGUCCCAAUCUUCAGAGAACUGUUCAAAAGAUGGUCUAAAAAUGUGACAUUUAUGCUAAAAACACUCCCAAGACAGGAUCUCCACCAGUUCUAAAAGGCAUACAAAUUUGAGGCUCCAAACCCGUGAAGGCCAGCAGGUAGACUUGACUAAAAAAAACAAAA